GGAACUUCAAACCGGCACUAGGAAACAGACUGAGAAACCAGAGUAAGAUUUCCCUUGCCAACCGUUCCCUUUGUGGUGGAUGAACGGACGUCUCUCCACAUGCUCAGUUCUGAGAGAUAAGUGUGUGUGAAAGCCGUCCUUCA